CAGCAGCCGCGGUAAUACAGAGGGUGCGAGCGUUAAUCGGAUUUACUGGGCGUAAAGCGUGCGUAGGCGGCUUCUUAAGUCGGAUGUGAAAUCCCUGAGCUUAACUUAGGAAUUGCAUUCGAUACUGGGAAGCUAGAGUAUGGGAGAGGAUGGUAGAAUUCCAGGUGUAGCGGUGAAAUGCGUAGAGAUCUGGAGGAAUACCGAUGGCGAAGGCAGCCAUCUGGCCUAAUACUGACGCUGAGGUACGAAAGCAUGGGAAGCAAACAGGAUUAGAUACCCCCGUAGUCCCUGUCUCUUAUAC
rnacentral:rRNA from 1 species